rnacentral:tRNA from 1 species
GCUUUUAAAGGAAAACUAGUCUUCCUCUGGUUUUAGGAUCCAGCACCUCUUGGCGCAAAUCCAAGUAAAAGCU